rnacentral:misc_RNA from 1 species
AAAUCCAACAAAGUCUGGCUU